rnacentral:rRNA from 1 species
GGAAAACUUACCAGGUCAAAACUAUGGCGGGAUUGACAGAUUGAUAGCUCUUUCUUGAUUCGUGGGGUGGUGGUGCAUGGCCGUUCUUAGUUGGUGGAGCGAUCUGUCUGGUUAAUUCCGAUAACGAACGAGACCCCAACCUGCUAACUAGCCCUCGGGUCCUGCUUCUGUUGGGCCCGACGGAAUGAUUCGCUUCUUAGAGGGACUCGCGGCGCCUAGCCGCACGAAGGGGGGCGAUAA